rnacentral:rRNA from 1 species
GAUGAACGCUGGCGGCGUGCCUAAUACAUGCAAGUCGAGCGAACAGACGAGGAGCUUGCUCCUCUGACGUUAGCGGCGGACGGGUGAGUAACACGUGGAUAACCUACCUAUAAGACUGGGAUAACUUCGGGAAACCGGCGCUAAUACCGGAUAAUAUAUUGAACCGCAUGGUUCAAUAGUGAAAGACGGUUUUGCUGUCACUUAUAGAUGGAUCCGCGCCGCAUUAGCUAGUUGGUAAGGUAACGGCUUACCAAGGCAACGAUGCGUAGCCGACCUGAGAGGGUGAUCGGCCACACUGGAACUGAGACACGGUCCAGACUCCUACGGGAGGCAGCAGUAGGGAAUCGGCCGCAAUGGGCGAAAGCCUGACGGAGCAACGCCGCGUGAGUGAUGAAGGUCUUCGGAUCGUAAAACUCUGUUAUUAGGGAAGAACAAAUGUGUAAGUAACUAUGCACGUCUUGACGGUACCUAAUCAGAAAGCCACGGCUAACUACGUG